rnacentral:ncRNA from 2 species
GAAUUAUUGCAGGGGUGCCUUUAGGCUGAGAAGAAGAAAUUCUAACCCUUAGAACCUGAACCUAGAUUAUACUAGCGUAGGAAGCAAUGAAGAAGUUUAU